AUACGUAGGGGGCGAGCGUUGUCCGGAAUGAUUGGGCGUAAAGGGCGCGUAGGCGGCGCGGUAAGUCUGGAGUGAAAGUCCUGCUUUCAAGGUGGGAAUUGCUUUGGAUACUGCCGCGCUUGAGUGCAGGAGAGGUUAUCGGAAUUCCCGGUGUAGCGGUGAAAUGCGUAGAGAUCGGGAGGAACACCAGUGGCGAAGGCGGGUAACUGGACUGCAACUGACGCUGAGGCGCGAAAGUGUGGGGAGCAAACAGGAUUAGAUACCCUGGUAGUCCCCACUGUAAACGAUGAGUGCUAGAUGUAAGAGGUAUCGACCCCUUUUGUGCCGGAGUCAACACAAUAAGCAUUCCGCCUGGGGAGUACGGCCGCAAGGUUGAAACUCAAAUGAAUUGACGGGG
rnacentral:rRNA from 1 species